rnacentral:tRNA from 1 species
GGGCAGAUAGCUCAAUGGUAGAGCGUUAAAAUCAAUUGCGAAUUGUCGCGGGUUCGAAUCCCACAUGGUCCA